rnacentral:snRNA from 1 species
GAUCAAAGUGUAGUAUCUGUUCUUAUCAGCUUAAUCUCUGNUACGGGGCUUACNAAGCCCCUCCGUGAUUAAACGUAUUUUUGGAACAGGAAUGGGUCUUNNUAGCUUGCUAAAGCCCGUUCACGGGUUGUU